CCUUGCGCUGCGCUCCCUGCCCCGCACCUGCCCCGCACCCGCCCGCAGGCCGUCGGCCGCCAGCCCCUUCCCCACGGAGAAACAAAAGAGCCCCGCUGAAGAGGCGGACGGGUGGCUUUCGACAGGUUCUUAACGGGAUUUUCCUCCUCGCACCCCCUUCCUUUUCUUUUCUCUGUCCCCCAAAACGCGCGGCCCCUUCGGAGGCGCGGGCGGCCUGGGAAGCGGCCCCUGGCCAGGGGACACAGCGGUGCGUGGCCACCCGGGCACGGGGAGCGGGGGCCCAGCUGUCUCUAACGAUUCCUGCGAUCACUGAGCUCCAAAACCGGCGGGACAAGGGCCGCGGAUCUCGUUUGGGGCCCGCAGCCGGGUGGCACCGCACCGGCACCGCAGCGGUACCGCCCGGCCCCCAGCGGGGCACCGGCACCGGGGGAUGCUCCGUGCACAGCUCUCGGUCCCACCAGCCAAAACUGAGCUUCUCCUUCCUUUAAACAGAAUAGCCAUAUUUUCGGUUCGUUUCCAAGACCUUAUGUUCGUUUACAAGCUCGUUAUGAAGCCUUGAAGGAGCUCUGUUUCUGGAGGCUGCAGGAGGCAUCAGGGAAGAAAGAACGAAAAUGCAUCCAAACCUCUGUCUGCGCGUCGGGGAAGGCUGGAGGUGCGGGUGGACGGACGGACGGACGGACGGACGGACGGACGGACGGAGGCAG